AUUCUUUAGAUUUUCUACCAAGCAGUCGUGUCGUAAGCAAAAUUCAAAAUGAGUACUUCAAAAUGUAUUAUAUUUUUUUGUGUUGUUGCAUUAGUCACGCUAUGUACUGCACAGCCAAUUGCCGACUCAACAGUCGAACCAGGAACUUCAAAUCAUUUAAUUUUCAAAAGACACUUAAUCAGCCGUUGUUUUUGCCCAAGUGAUGAGGUGUUUGUCCACGGGUUAUGCGUGAGUUGUGAAGAAUAUAAAAUACUCACAGAUACCGACGAGUGUCCACCAACCUGCAUUUAAUUUCGGGCCUAAGUCCCUCGUAUCCCCGAGCGCCGGAGCCCCGAGUCCAGCUUCGUGCUGUUUCGGCAAUCAUCGGCUUCGUACAAACGCGACUGGGAUUAACGCUCGGCACAGACGGGCAACUGAUCACUGAUUCCAGUGUUUUCUAUCGUUGCCUUUAACCACUACAUUAAAAUUGUAGCCAGCAGUGCGUUGAUCUCCGAAAAAAAGUUGUCUUUCGCUAUUCAGCGUAGAUUACGUAACCCAGUACAGAUGCUAUGAUAUACAUAUAGUGCUAUAAUAACUCUAAGACAUUCCACUUUAUCUCUGAGGUAUAAGGUUCAUUUUGAUAUAGAAAAGUAUUCCGUGGUCUCACGGUGACCAUAAAGGAUAUUGUAGCUAAAAGCGACAUUAAGUGUUGAGUUACGCACUGGUGGAUUUUGUGCUCGGUUUUUCUUAUCGAAAAUCCAUUUACCUAUACAAAUGUGACAUUUAGAACCGUGCGACAGAUUAUUGCCGCUCAGAAUAUGUCACGCGCAUAUGCUCAGUAUACAAAGUUGUGUUACGUUGCAUAUGCGCGGGAAUUCCAAAAAAUAAAUAAAUAGGUAUUUAAAUUAUGUUUAAACAGCUUGUCUGGUUUGAUGUUUGCAGUGGAUGACUCACUUGUAACGCGUUUAUACUCUAUAAAGAUGGACAAUCUUGAUACUUAGGACUUUUGAACAAAUACAAAUGAAUCUACUGCUUAAAAUAAUGGUACAACUAAUUCAGUAAUGUAAUUUUUAUAAUUAAUUUCAUUUUACUUUACUUUUAAACUGUCAAGAUUGUUUCUUUACAGUUCACAGUUCAUCUUUAGUUUAAGAAGGUAUUAAAAAAAACUAGAUAUAACAAAAGGAUUUCACAUUUGACAAAACAAUGAGGAAAUAGAAUACCUAAAUAUAGUAUUAGAGGACAGUCAAAUAUUUUUGCAAAAAAAAACUAAUUUUGUGUGUCUGAAUUUUGCUUUGAUAACAAAGUAUACAUGUGUUUAGCAUUUAAGAAUGAUUUUAUAAAUAGUUCAGUAUUAAUAUUUACAUAAGUAUUUAAAUAUUUAUAACCAAACCAAAUAGAUCAGUACCUAUCAAUAAAUAUUUCAAUUUACUAGAAACUGCUACUUCUAGAAUCUAAUGAUUAAUAUGUGAUAAUAAAACUUAAUCUGCAUUUUUUAAAGUAUUGUGUUGUAGGCGGCAUAGACUGGAAGCCGAUCCCAACAUAGUUGGGAAAAAGGCUCGAAGGAUGAUGUUGUAGGAGGCAUAGGCUGUUUGCAGUUCCCAAAGGUUACGGUUAAGGUUUAUUUCUCCAUGGGCCAUUGAUGCCUGAUAAUAAAGUUUAAAUAAAAAAAUAAUAAGCCAGACGGUCGCUCGUUCAGAGUUAUCAAUUCCAAGCACUCUUGGACGUCAAUCCUGACUGCAAUUUGCUUGCGGACGAAAGUAAGACGAUCCGUCGGUAUAUCUUGAGUCCUGGGAUAUGAGCGAGUGAAUGAUUUAUUUUUUUAACCAAUGUAACCGACAUUUUGUCGUUUUUGUUGACAAUAAAUAACUACAUACAAUCAUCACGCAUAUGACGCAUCAAACGAUAUGAUACGAUAUGAAAUAAAUAAAUUAUAUAAAUGGCCAAACACAGAAGCUGGAAAAUAUUUAGCCUUAAGUAUAUUGUUUAGUUAUUAGGGAAAAUUUAAUUGUUAACUAUCACCUAAUAACUAAGCUGCUUAUUGUAUUCUUGUGACAUUAAAUCAUUUGAAUUAAAUUAAACAGUAUUUAUAAACUAAACUUACUACUCAA
rnacentral:lncRNA from 1 species